rnacentral:rRNA from 1 species
UACGUAGGCAGCAAGCGUUGUUCGGAGUUACUGGGCGUAAAGGGUGCGUAGGCGGUUGUUUAAGUUUGGUGUGAAAUCUCCCGGCUCAACUGGGAGGGUGCGCCGAAUACUGAAUGACUAGAGUGCGGGAGAGGAGAGUGGAAUUCCUGGUGUAGCGGUGAAAUGCGUAGAUAUCAGGAGGAACACCGGUGGUGUAGACGGCUCACUGGACCAUAACUGACGCUGAGACACGAAAGCGUGGGUAGCAAACAGG